rnacentral:lncRNA from 1 species
GAAUAGUUGUCCCCUUAGAACAAAGAGCAUUGUUCUGUGGCAUAAAAAGAGAAUGGAUGUAAAGAGAUGCACAUCCCAGACCGCCGUCCCACACAGCUCCCCUGCCACAGCACUGGUGCCAAGGAGCAGGACCAGGCACAGUGCUGGUUUCAGGGAGAAAAAAGAUAUUUUGAAGAUCUCUGCGCCUGGCAUAAGGAAAGUGCACUCUCUGUGUUCCUGCUUGAAAUCCUUGUCCUUGCAGUUCCCCCAGCAGAGCUACAGGUUCUCAGGAGACCAUGGAAGAGACCCAGACUGCUGCAUGCUAUUGAUCACAGUUCCAGAGGUCUCCAGAUGAGACAGAAGCCAGCAUAUGCAGUUUGGCAGAUGAAGAAUCAGUGCAGUCAACACAUGCCGUGAAGUCACGUAGCCAUCCCACUGUGCUGCUCUUGAAGAGAGAUUCUGGGCAGAAAUCCUGCAGGACACCUGGCACAUUGAUUAUCCUUAUGUAAGUUUUAAUCUUCACUGCAAGAGCAAAGAUGGCCUUGUUAGAGGCUGUAUUAUCUCUGCCUUCCUCCUCCACAUCUCCCACUGUUUUUUCAAUAGCUCACAUAAGUGCUUUCUCAGCCUCUUCUGCGUGCAGCACCACGAAGAGGCAGCAAGCUAUCUGCAGCACAUGCACACCCAGCAGUGGGUGGCCAUCGGGUGUACAGCACACCAGGUCAUUAACGUCUGCAGUUCGCAGGGAGAGCAAGGAACAUGGCAUGUAUAAUCAACA